rnacentral:rRNA from 1 species
GACGAACGCUGGCGGCGUGCUUAACACAUGCAAGUCGAACGGACAGGCCCUGAUCUUGUGGGUUGCUCGAGUGGCGAACGGGUGAGUAACACGUGAGUAAACUGCCCUUGACUUUGUGAUAACAUCAGGGAACUGGGGCUCAUACCGGGUAGGAGCUCCCGAUCCGUGGUGUGGGUUGGAGAGAUUCGGCGGUGGGGGCUGGACUCGCGGCUUAUCCGCUUGUUGGGGGGGUAGUGGCUUACGAAGGGUGUGACGGGUAGCCGGCAUUAGAGGGUGACCGGCGACAAUGGUACUAAGAGACGGAGCAGACGCCUACGGGAGGCAGCAGUGGGGAAUAUGGCGGAGUGGGCCGAAGCGUGAUGCAGAGGCGCCGCGUGCGUGAUGACGGGUUUCGAGUUAUAAACCGCCGUGGACGGUGACGAGGCGGGAGUGACGGUAAUUGGUAAAGAAGCACCGGCUAACUACGUG